rnacentral:rRNA from 1 species
CUCCCUGAUGUUAGCGGCGGACGGGUGAGUAACACGUGGGUAACCUGCCUGUAAGACUGGGAUAACUCCGGGAAACCGGGGCUAAUACCGGAUGCUUGUUUGAACCGCAUGGUUCAAACAUAAAAGGUGGCUUCGGCUACCACUUACAGAUGGACCCGCGGCGCAUUAGCUAGUUGGUGAGGUAAUGGCUCACCAAGGCGACGAUGCGUAGCCGACCUGAGAGGGUGAUCCGCCAUACUGGCACUGAGACACGACCCAAACUAAUACGGGAGGCAGCAGUAGGUAAUCUUCCGCAAUGGACGAAAGUCUGACGGAGCAACGCCGCGUGAGUGAUGAAGGUUUUCGGAUCGUAAAGCUCUGUUGUUAGGGAAGAACAAGUACCGUUCGAAUAGGGCGGUACCUUGACGGUACCUAACCAGAAAGCCACGGCUAACUACGUGCCAGCAGCCGCGGUAAUACGUAGGAGCAAGCGUUGUCCGAAAUUAUUGGGCGUAAGGCUCGCAGGCUUUUUCUUAAGUCUGAUGUGAACGCCCCCCGCCUCACCGGGGAGGGUCAUUGGAGACUGAGAACUUGAGUGCAGAAGAGGAGAGUGCAAUUCCACGUGUAGCGUUGAAAUGCGUAGAGAUGAGAAACAUCACCAGUGGCGAAGGCGGAUUAGAUACCCUGGUAGUACACGCCGUAAACGAUGAGUGCUAAGUGUUAGGGGGUUUCCGCCCCUUAGUGCUGCAGCUAACGCAUUAAGCACUCCGCCUGGGGAGUACGGUCGCAAGACUGAAACUCAAAGGAAUUGACGGGGGCCCGCACAAGCGGUGGAGCAUGUGGUUUAAUUCGAAGCAACGCGAAGAACCUUACCAGGUCUUGACAUCCUCUGACAAUCCUAGAGAUAGGACGUCCCCCUCGGGGGCAGAGUGACAGGUGGUGCAUGGUUGUCGUCAGCUCGUGUCGUGAGAUGUUGGGUUAAGUCCCGCAACGAGCGCAACCCUUGAUCUUAGUUGCCAGCAUUCAGUUGGGCACUCUAAGGUGACUGCCGGUGACAAACCGGAGGAAGGUGGGGAUGACGUCAAAUCAUCAUGCCCCUUAUGACCUGGGCUACACACGUGCUACAAUGGACAGAACAAAGGGCAGCGAAACCGCGAGGUUAAGCCAAUCCCACAAAUCUGUUCUCAGUUCGGAUCGCAGUCUGCAACUCGACUGCGUGAAGCUGGAAUCGCUAGUAAUCGCGGAUCAGCAUGCCGCGGUGAAUACGUUCCCGGGCCUUGUACACACCGCCCGUCACACCACGAGAGUUUGUAACACCCGAAGUCGGUGAGGUAACCUUUUAGGAGCCAGCCGCCGAAGGUGGGA